rnacentral:rRNA from 1 species
CCAAUAGCGUAUAUUAAAGUUGUUGCAGUUAAAAAGCUCGUAGUUGAAUUUCGGGAUCAAUUAAUUGGUCGUGCCUAUGAUACGUACUGAUUUUAUUGGUUUCUCCCUUCUGACGAACCAUGAUGUCAUUAAUUUGGUGUCGUGGAGAAUCAGGACUGUUACUUUGAAAAAAUUAGAGUGUUUAAAGCAAGCUAACGCUU